UAGGGAAUCUUCGGCAAUGGGGGCAACCCUGACCGAGCAACGCCGCGUGAGUGAAGAAGAUUUUCGGAUCGUAAAGCUCUGUUGUAAGAGAAGAACGUGUGUGAGAGUGGAAAGUUCACACAGUGACGGUAACUUACCAGAAAGGGACGGCUAACUACGUGCCAG
rnacentral:rRNA from 1 species